rnacentral:snRNA from 1 species
UUACUUACCUGGCUAGGAGAUAAACUAUCAUUAAGGUGGUUUCUCAGUUGUGCCAGGCCUUACAUUCUACUUAUGUGUGCUUGACCUCAUCCAAUAUCUCAUAUGUGGUUAAAUAGAUAACAUAAGUUCUGGCGAGUGGGGAAGCACUUAUCCUCUAA